UGAACUGCAGCAGCACCGCGAGCCCGGUCAGCGCCUGCAGCACGAGAAAGGCUGCGGCCUGCCGGACCGUCACCUGUCCGGCCGGAAUCGGCCGCGACCGGGUGCGCUCAACCUGUGCGUCGAGCUUGCGAUCGGUGAUGUCGUUCCAGGUGCAUCCCGCGCCGCGCAUGACCACCGCGCCGAUGAAGAACAGCACGAUAACCAGCGGCAGUCCGCGCACGUCAUGCGCGA
rnacentral:misc_RNA from 1 species